AAUCAUAUCAUUUCUCCAUUGAAUACAGACGGUCGACGUAAACAACCCUCGUCGAAUAUUCAAUGCUGGAUUACAAUAAUGAGAUGCAUCCACCAAUCCAAAGAAAGGAAAGGCGGAAGUUAGGCAGCCCGGUGAGUCGCUUUGUGGACAACGACUCCCAUCGUUAGGUCCGGAGAGACAUAUAUAAACCUGUCAGUAUAGCCAUAAUCUUUGAUAAUAAAAGUAAAUGAACAAAGAAGUAGACCAGACCCAGCUGCUAUUGCAUUUGGUGUCUAUAAGAGACAUCUCGUUAAGUAGACCGGAACUGACCUUUUUUUGUUGUUGUUGUAAACGGCGAGUGAACCAUCUUAAUUUAUCCACCAUCUUUGGUGUGUUCAGGAGGAAGUGGAACAUGUAAACACACAACAAUGUCAGCCGUAGACCUAGUGCUCUGCAGCCAGACCUUACUUCUGCACAGUUAUCAAGCUAUAUCAGACCCAUAUCCAUCCAUACAGAACACUUGUCGGCUCUGCGGUCAAAAUCUGCUCAUCAAGGGGACAUUACAGGCAACACGAAGAAUAUUUGACAAGCCUAAAGCCUCAAAGGAAAAAGGUUAUGUGAUAGAUUCCUUGCCACCGGUUUAGUGCUAACUGAAGCACCAGGGGUGAAAUCGGGCAGAAUUUGUGCAAAGUGUUAUAGACUAUUUCUCAGGAUAGAGGAAUCUGUAAGCGUUUUAAAGAAAUGGCAAUCGGAGCAUCAGACACCGGGGACGAGCAAGAAGAGGAAGCGUGAACGGGAACCGAGUCCAUCUGAAACAGACAAGGGAACCAAGAAGACAUCUGAACGGGAACCGAGUCCAUCUGGAACAGACAAGGGAGCCAAGAAGACAUCUGAACGGGAACCGAGUCCAUCUGAAACAGACCGGGCUGCCAAGAAGACAUGUCCUCCCUAUAAAAAGGUUCCCCCGAGGAGCAGUCUUGUCGAGGUUGUCAUAACAUACCCUAACCAAUUGGAUCCAAAGCUGAAAAAGAGGGUUGAGAAGGUUUCAUCCGAAUUUUCCGGAAUGGUUGAAAACUUGGCAAAAGGCAAAUUGACGACAUUUGUCAGGUUAGCCUUGACGAAUGAAACCAUGUGUCAAGAAAUCAGAAAGCAGAUGACACAGAAAAUAGAAGCAGAGGUCAAGGCAUAUGCAAGACCCUUAAAUUACCUGACUUGUGCUGAACCUUGCAUCUUGAGUAGUACCUCGUUGGAGAAUAUGAAGUGUUUUUCAUACAAAGCGUUGGAUGAUGAGUUGUCCAAGAAGACACCAUGGCUUUAUACCACCAUCAAUACUGCAACAGGUGGAUCCACCAUCCAUAACUGUGUAGCCGCCUCUGUGGCCCUGAGAGGUAGAAACCCCAGGCUUUCUGCACUGGCCUAUGUCAUCAACUCCACACUGACCCAAGGAGGGGUUAAGCCCAUUUUCAAAAGACUCUCUAAGAUGGGCAUAACAACCACACACAGCAAUGUCCUAAAUAAGCAGAAAGAGAUGAAGGCAGCUGGGUACAACAUCAACAUCAAAUGCUGGAGGGAGGACUGUGAGCUGUUUUUCCAACAUAGUAUCAACGGUGAAGUCUGCCCACGACCACCUCCUACUGCUAAACCGACAGAGGAGACCGGAAGAGAGGAAGAAGAGGAGGAGGACAAGGGUCCAGUGGAGGAUGAGUUUGAAAUAGAGCUGGACUGGGGUCCACUGGAGGAAGAGGGUGAAGGAGAUGAGGAAGAGUGGAGUCCACUGUCAGAAGAGACAGAAAGAGAGGAGGACAGAGGAUCUACAGUGGAGGAAGAGAGAGGAGAGGAGAAAGCCCGGGGUUCCCUGCUAGGAGAGACAGAAAGAGAGGAAGAGGGACAAACAUUAUCAGCACUAGAAGGAAAUGACAGACAGGAAGAGGAUUCUGAUUCAACAGUGGAUUCAGAGACUGAAUACUUUGGAUUAAACCUCACCUGUGAGAGUGAUUAGAGAAGUAGCCUAACAAAGAGUCUGUAGAUUACAGAUCUAGACCUGGGCUACAUCUCUGAACAACAAGGCCCUAAUCAUAGAAUACAUCCCAAAUGGCACCCUAUUCCCUUUAUAGUGCACUACUUUUGACCAGGGCCAUUUGGGACAGAAUCAUACAGUGAAAUUACUCAUGUUGAGGGGGGUCAGGAUGUGAGGUCUACUGUUCCUGGUGUAUUGAGGGGGUCAGGAUGUGAGGUCUACUGUUCCUGGUGUAUUGAGGGGUCAGGAUGUGAGGUCUACUGUUCCUGGUGUAUUGAGGGGGUCAGGAUGUGAGUACAGUGUGUAUUGAGGGGGUCAGGAUGUGAGUACAGUGUGUAUUGAGGGGUCAGGAUGUGAGUACAGUGUGUAUUGAGGGGUCAGGAUGUGAGUACAGUGUGUAUUGAGGGGGUCAGGAUGUGAGUACAGUGUGUUGAGGGGUCAGGAUGUGAGUACAGUGUGUAUUGAGGGGGUCAGGAUGUGAGUACAGUGUGUUGAGGGGUCAGGAUGUGAGUACAGUGUGUAUUGAGGGGGUCAGGAUGUGAGUACAGUGUGUUGAGGGGGUCAGGAUGUGAGUACAGUGUGUUGAGGGGGUCAGGAUGUGAGUACAGUGUGUUUACAACGGUAUUAAAGAGACCAGCUCCAUUUAGAUGUUCAAUUCAAACUUUAUUUUUUGUUAUUUGGUACUUCCCCAAAUGGCACCCUAUUCCCUAUAUAGGAUUCUGGUCAGAAGGAAUGCACUGAAUGAAUAGGGUGUCAUUUGUGACGAAACCCUUGAAUAGAAAAAUGAAUAAAAAAUAAACCUAUAUCCAGUAUUCCAUAGAGGGGUCUGUUCAUGUCUGGGUUAUUGUUCAGGAAACAGAGGUCUUACCUGAACCUGUCCAAUAAGAACACAGGUUUUUGUUUUGCUACAUCGUGUUCUACUGAAUAGGACCCUGUUACCACGACACUAUCAAUGAUGUCACGGUCACAUGUUUGGCCUGUAGCCCUCAGGGACAGGUCUGUGUUCUUGUGGCUGGGACAGAUGGCGUCUCCAGGUUAGGGUAUGGUAAGGUGCCUGGGAACCACAAACAUCCACUUUGUUAUGUCCAUGUUGUUAUAAUUAUAUUUAAUUUGGGAUUUGUUCUCAAUUAAUUAUCUGGGUAAAUAAAGGUUAGACGAACACAAGAUUUGACCUGUCUUUAUCAUGAUGGACACCAGGCAGCCACCCAUACAGCCUUGUAAAUGAUGAUGGCAGACAUUUUGUUUUCCAAAACUCACCAAAUGUCUGCAUCUCCCACAGCACGAUGCCAAAUGCCCACACGUCCCCCUUGAAGCUGUAAUAGUUGGUUUUCUGACCGGCCAGGUCACAGUGCACCCACCACCUGUAAGUACAGGUCAGAGAUCAGGACUAAUAAAUGUUCUGUAGCUGUGUGUAUGGGUUACUGUCUGUAAGAAAUGAUCGUAGGUCACAGUGCACCACCUGGAACACAGACCCCAGAUCAUUUACUGUCUGUCUAAUGUCAGGUCCCAAACCAGUAAUGCAGGUGGCAGUUGGUGUCAUAAGGAAUGAGUGGGAGGAGGAGGAAACUGGCUUCCAUUUUGGAUCGGAGGUGUUCCAUGGCCAGUGUGAUGUGAUAAGAGGUGAUGGUGAGCAGGCUCUGUAGCUCAGGGUCAGGGGUCAUCUCGUCUCUGUGGGUCUGAAGGAAGCGCCAACACACAGGACUCUGGGAGAACUACACACAGGACUCUGGGAGAUCGACACACAGGACUCUGGGAGAACGACACACAGGGCUCUGGGAGAUCGACACACAGGACUCUGGGAGAACGACACACAGGACUCUGGGAGAACGACACACAGGACUCUGGGAGAUCGACACACAGGACUCUGGGAGAUCAACACACAGGACUCUGGGAGAUCAACACACAGGACUCUGGGAGAUCACCACAUAACACAGAAUUCAUGAUGUUGUAGUAAAUAUGUUAUAGAUGUGCCACUCGUUUCUAUUCCUUAUGGAGACUAAUAUAAAUAAUAACGACUCCCAAAGUGGUAGAUUAUCACACAGUAUUUUUUUCUUAUUUUGGUCAUGGGAGGAUGGUCAGUUUCUCAUUUGGGUCUCAGGCUGAAAAAGUUUAAGAACCCCAAAUGUAGGGAAUAGGCUGCCAUUUGAGAUACAAACUGUGUGACCUUACCCCCACUAAAGCAGUGUCUCGUUGCCCCCUCAGUCUCAAUGGACAUUUCAUCUCUGGUCAUUAUGGGUAUAAGAUUAUCAAGGAGUGGACUGGUGGUAGCCUAGCCUAGCGUUCCCUCUUUGAUGAGCUGGUGGUAGCCUAGCCUAGUGUUCCCUCUGAUCUGGUGGUAGCGUAGCCUAGCGUUCCCUCUGUGGUGUUCCCUCUUUGAUGAGCUGGUGGUAGCCUAGUGUUCCCUCUUUGGUGAUCUGGUGGUAGCCUAGCCUAGUGUUCCCUCUUUGGUGAUCUGGUGGUAGCGUAGCCUAGCGUUCCCUCUUUGGUGAUCUGGUGGUAGCGUAGCCUAGCGUUCCCUCUUUGGUGGUCUGGUGGUAGCGUAGCCUAGCGUUCCCUCUUUGGUGAUCUGGUGGUAGCGUAGCCUAGCGUUCCCUCUUUGGUGAUCUGGUGGUAGCGUAGCCUAGCGUUCCCUCUUUGGUGAUCUGGUGGUAGCGUAGCCUAGCGUUCCCUCUUUGGUGGUCUGGUGGUAGCGUAGCCUAGCGUUCCCUCUUUGGUGGUCUGGUGGUAGCGUAGCCUAGCUUUCCCUCUUUGGUGAUCUGGUGGUAGCGUAGCCUAGCGUUCCCUCUUUGGUGAUCUGGUGGUAGCGUAGCCUAGCGUUCCCUCUUUGGUGAUCUGGUGGUAGCGUAGCCUAGCGUUCCCUCUUUGGUGGUCUGGUGGUAGCGUAGCCUAGCGUUCCCUCUUUGGUGAUCUGGUGGUAGCGUAGCCUAGCGUUCCCUCUUUGGUGAUCUGGUGGUAGCGUAGCCUAGCGUUCCCUCUUUGGUGGUCUGGUGGUAGCGUAGCCUAGCGUUCCCUCUUUGGUGAUCUGGUGGUAGCGUAGCCUAGCGUUCCCUCUUUGGUGAUCUGGUGGUAGCUCCUCAGGGCCCUCUCUCUCCCCAGCUUCUCUCUCCCCAGGCUCUCUGCUCCUGAGGGCCCUCUCUUUCCCCAGCCUCUCCUCAGGGCCCUACCCACCCGUUUAACCCUACCCACCCCACCCGUCUAACCCUACCUACCUGUCUAACCCUACCCACCUACCUACCCACCUGUCCUCUUAAAAGAGCACCUGGUGAGGCUACAUCCGUUCCAUAACACUCCACAUUAAACUGUAAACUGGCACUGCCCAACAAUAGACAGACGUCGUCUCGGCCUAACUCACCGAAUCGCUGUAAACAAGAGACCCGAAAGCCUGCUAUUGUGUUUCUCUGCCAGUAUCUGAGAGAAAGUCAGAACCCUUGAAGAGAAGACACUCGUUGAGAGAAAAACAGACAUACAUUAAACACAUCAUGCGGUGUUAU
rnacentral:lncRNA from 1 species